GAUGAACGCUGGCGGCGUGCUUAACACAUGCAAGUCGAACGAAGCAUUUGCGACAGAUUUUGUCGGAAUGAAGUUGCUUAUGACUGAGUGGCGGACGGGUGAGUAACGCGUGGGUAACCUGCCUUGUACUGGGGGAUAGCAGCUGGAAACGGCUGGUAAUACCGCAUAAGCGCACAAUGUUGCAUGACAUGGUGGGAAAAACUCCGGUGGUAUAAGAUGGACCCGCGUCUGAUUAGCUAGUUGGUGAGAUAACAGCCUACCAAGGCGACGAUCAGUAGCCGACCUGAGAGGGUGACCGGCCACAUUGGGACUGAGACACGGCCCAGACUCCUACGGGAGGCAGCAGUGGGGAAUAUUGCACAAUGGAGGAAACUCUGAUGCAGCGACGCCGCGUGAGUGAAGAAGUAAUUCGUUAUGUAAAGCUCUAUCAGCAGGGAAGAUAGUGACGGUACCUGACUAAGAAGCCCCGGCUAACUACGUG
rnacentral:rRNA from 1 species